rnacentral:misc_RNA from 1 species
CAAAAUUUAUACGCCUGAGAAAUCAGAAUAUACCCCCAUCCCUAAGUUAAAAGGCUCGAGCACAUCCUUUCCUUCGAUCUAGCUCUCUGUACAUAUUCGCGCCUUACCGUCGAAAAUCACUUGGUGCUAUCGCAUUAUCGGUCCUCUUGGACAAGUUCUUUUGAUUCUUCAAAUUCCGGUUUCAAAGUUUGCCUCUAUUUAUGUCGACUUCGAAGGCUGUCCGCUCCUUAAUAACGAGUAGAAAUGGUGCCAAAUACUUGAUCAGGUCGCCGAAAGACUAUAAUUCUAAAUUUGAUCAGAUUCGAUGUUAUAAUAGCAUUGUUGGCAUCUCAACCCCAUCGGUCGUUGAAGUAAUUGAUAGGAAGACCGAUUUUAGUUUGGCAUUGGGAAGCUUUUACAAUAAUGCUACUGCUGCUCAAAAAAGACGAUUUCUUGGCCGCGGAGACGGACAGGAAGGUGGUGUUUUAUCCAAUGUUUAUGAAGAGAGGCGCGUUCUUGGUUAUUUGAUGUGGUUGCUGCUGUCGACUUGUAUGAUGGAUUUGUCCCUUGGUGUCAACGGUCUGAGAUACUCAGAUGCCAUCCCGAUGGAUCAUUUGAUGCUGAGCUGGAGAU